CGAAAUCAUAGUUUAACCUUAGUGUACACUAAGCAAAGUUUUUCGUAAGAAAUGUUCGUCAUAGAUCAGACGCAGUGUGCGGCGUUGUCCCAUUGGCUCAUCGUCGAGUCUCGGGUCUUCCACAGACGCGUUCCUUCUUUGAACAGAUCAGGUCUAUUAUGGUCAACGAAAGAGAGUAAUUCAAUUUACCAUUUAUUUGAAAUACCAAAUUCUUUACAAGAAAAGAAAUAAACGAAUAACCCGCCGUGCUAUACAUUUUAGACUUACCAUCACGAAAAUAAGACUUAAAUAAAUUAUGUGUAAUUGCA